CUUACUACCAAAGAGGGCAGUCACAUCACACCACAACCUCUCUUUAGAGGGUUUGUCAGCAGGGAACUAAAUUGCAUUACCUGCCUAAGGAGAGGCUUAGAAACAGAAGCUAAGCCAGUUUUUGGAAGACUCCUUCUUCUGCAUGGGUCUCCAUAUAAUUCCCAUCACAAAGUGAUUUGGAUUGACUUUAGAAUUGAAAUGAGACUGAACUAGUACCCAGAAACUUUGCCCCAACAGACAUCAAAGUUGACAGAUCAGGGAUUUUCACCCUACACUGUACCACUAGGAUGACAGUCCUAGCUGUGCCUACAGAAGUCUCUGAAGCUCAUUCAAUUGUGGACUCCACUCAUGGUGGUGCAGUAUCUGUAUUCCAUGUAGAACCUCCUCCAUGAGUUUUACUGUAUCUGUGUAACCUCUGCAGUAAUGUGUAUUUUUUUAAUUAAUCAAUUUAGCUAAAUAAAUGUACACUAUGAUAAAAUAAA